UCCUGCGGGCCAAUGGGUAGCCUGCUUGACUAAAUAAGGCGAGGAGCGCGGCCGGGCGCCCCGUCCGUUACGUCCGCCCCCGUGACUCAGGGCUGCCACUGGCCUUCGGGCGGCGGGAGCGAAAUCGCCAAAUAUGGCCGCGCGCCGCCCGUCGCCCCCACCGCACACCUGAGUCGCACCUCGGUCCCGCCGCGGGACAAGGCGCCCCCGCCGGCGUCAGAGGGAACCCGGCCUUACAUGGCCGUUCCCUGCUCGCAGCGCCUUCUGCACACACGCAGACAAAGGCGUCUUAGGAGGAAGCUGGGGUUUGAGGGCCAGGCCCCCGGCAGUGCUUCCCGGGUAGCCACGGGCGUGUGAGAGAUGGCCACUAGGGUACUCGCAGGGCCAGCGCCCUUCUUCCUAGGCCUGAUGUUGCCCAAGGUGACUGAGUGUUGGCACGGGUUGGUGGCCAGCAGGAUGCCAGCAUGACACAACGCCCACUCCCACCACCACCUCCAUCGAUGUCCAGGGAUACCCAACCCCGUGACGACCCCUCCUCCAAUGAAGCGGCUACGCGGACGUGAUUAUAGUGGCAGAACUGGGGACCCCCCCUCCCACGUGACUGGGAUGUGAUGGCCGCUCCCCGGACCCCCGGGGAUCCUUCCAGCCCGUCCCCA